rnacentral:rRNA from 1 species
UACGUAGGGUGCGAGCGUUAAUCGGAAUUACUGGGCGUAAAGCGUGCGCAGGCGGUUUGCUAAGACCGAUGUGAAAUCCCCGGGCUUAACCUGGGAACUGCAUUGGUGACUGGCAAGCUAGAGUGUGGCAGAGGGGGGUAGAAUUCCACGUGUAGCAGUGAAAUGCGUAGAGAUGUGGAGGAAUACCGAUGGCGAAGGCAGCCCCCUGGGCCAACACUGACGCUCAUGCACGAAAGCGUGGGGAGCAAACCGG